rnacentral:rRNA from 1 species
UACGGAGGGUGCAAGCGUUAUCCGGAUUCACUGGGUUUAAAGGGUGCGUAGGUGGGUCUGGAAGUCAGUGGUGAAAUCUCCGGGCUUAACCUGGAAACUGCCAUUGAUACUUCAGGUCUUGAAUUUUCUGGAGGUUAGCGGAAUAUGUCAUGUAGCGGUGAAAUGCUUAGAUAUGACAUAGAACACCAAUUGCGAAGGCAGCUAACUACGGGGAUAUUGACACUGAGGCACGAAAGCGUGGGGAUCAAACAGG